rnacentral:rRNA from 1 species
CCGAAUGCUCUAUGAUUUANAGUUUGAUCAUUGCUCAGAGUGAACGCUGGCGGUAGUGCCUAACACAUGCAAGUCGAACGGCAGCACAGAGGAGCUUGCUCCUUGGGUGGCGAAUGGCGGACGGGUGAGGAAUACAUCGGAAUCUACUCUGUCGUGGUGGGAUAACGUAGGGAAACUUACGCUAAUACCGCAUACGACCUACGGGUGAAAGCAGGGGAUCUUCGGACCUUGCGCGAUUGAAUGAGCCGAUGUCGGAUUAGCUAGUUGGCUGGGGUAAAGGCCCACCAAGGCGACGAUCCGUAGCUGGUCUGAGAUUGAUGAUCAGCCACACUGGAACUGAGACACGGUCCAGACUCCUAACGGG